UACGUAGGGGGCAAGCGUUGUCCGGAUUUAUUGGGCGUAAAGCGCGUGUAGGCGGCCCGGUAAGUCCGCUGUGAAAGUCGGGGGCUCAACCCUCGGAAGCCGGUGGAUACUGCCGGGCUCGAGUCCGGAAGAGGCGAGUGGAAUUCCUGGUGUAGCGGUGAAAUGCGCAGAUAUCAGGAGGAACACCGAUGGCGAAGGCAGCUCGCUGGGACGUGACUGACGCUGAGACGCGAAAGCGUGGGGAGCGAACAGG
rnacentral:rRNA from 1 species